rnacentral:rRNA from 1 species
CGAAGCCCCAGUGAACGGCGGCCGUAACUAUAACGGUCCUAAGGUAGCGAAAUUCCUUGUCAGGUAAGUUCUGACCCGCACGAAAGGUGUAACGAUUUGGGCGCUGUCUCGGCAGCAGACUCGGUGAAAUCUUAGUACCUGUGAAAAUGCAGGUUACCCGCAACUAGACGGAAAGACCCCAUGGAGCUUUACUGCAGCCUGAUAUUGAAUUCUGGUCAUACAUGUACAGGAUAGGUGGGAGACAAAGAGACGUGCACGCCAGUGUACGAGGAGUCGACGUUGGGAUACCACUCUUGUGUGACCGGGGUUCUAACCUGGUAUCGAGAACAGGUACGGGGAGAGUGUCAGGUGGGCAGUUUGACUGGGGCGGUCGCCUCCCAAAGAGUAACGGAGGCGCCCAAAGGUACGCUCAGAUUGGAUGGAAACCAAUCGUCGAGUGCAAUUGCAGAAGCGUGCUUGACUGUGAGACAGACAAGUCGAACAGGGACGAAAGUCGGGAAUAGUGAUCCGGCGGUGCCGAAUGGAAGGGCCGUCGCUCAACGGAUAAAAGCUACCCUGGGGAUAACAGGCUGAUCUCCCCCAAGAGUCCACAUCGACGGGGAGGUUUGGCACCUCGAUGUCGGCUCAUCGCAUCCUGGGGCUGAAGUAGGUCCCAAGGGUUGGGCUGUUCGCCCAUUAAAGCGGUACGCGAGCUGGGUUCAGAACGUCGUGAGACAGUUCGGUCCCUAUCUGUUGUGGGCGAAGGAGAUCUGCGGAGAGCUGUCCUCAGUACGAGAGGACCGGGAUGGACCUACCGCUGGUGCACCGGUUGUUCCGCCAGGGGCAUAGCCGGGUAGCUAAGUAGGGAAAGGAUAAGCGCUGAAAGCAUCUAAGCACGAAGCCUACUCCAAGAUGAGAUCUCCCAUUCGCAAGAAGUAAGACCCCUUAAAGACGAUAAGGUAGAUAGGCCAGGGAUGGAAGUGCAGUGAUGUACGGAGUUGACUGGUACUAAUCGGUCGAGGACUUAAUCAG